rnacentral:snRNA from 1 species
UUUGUUCCCAUGAGGAAGC